UGCAAACCACGUGCACCCAGCAGAUCCAUCUGCCAAGCAAAGUCGGGAUUUCCUCCAAUAAUGGAUUCCAAAACGCUUACGGAUCGAUCGAGUCCAACGUUCAGUUGUGCUUCAGCAUCGAGCGAGCGAGCGAGCGGUGAGAGCCAGCGAGCGAACGAGCGAGCGGAGAUGGAGUAGCAGCAGAUUUCCCGGUCCUGAAUGGCCGACAGAUUCCUGAGGCGGACACGGAAG